UAUGGAGUUUCAGACUUCCCGUAUGCUGCUUAUUCCAUGGUAUGCUUUUUUUUAGACAUGAAUAUAAAAUUACAUAUUUGCCCUUGGAUUAAUAUGUUUUCACUGUAGAUGCUUGUUGGGAUUUUAUCGUCUGUAAUUGCAACUUGUUAUGAGAUGGCCAAAACCAUUGCAUUUUGCAAUAGUUGAUGAACUUGAUUAUGUCCUAAUUGAUGAGGGAAGAAACCCAUUGCUGAUAAGGGGUGAGGCUAGCAAGGAUGCUGCACGUAACACAGUUGCUGCUAAAGUAGCUGAGCUUCUCAUGCGUGGCCUCGUAUUUUACUUUUUUGCCCUUCUUUUUCCUUUUUGAUGUCUUGUUAUCCAUCUCCAUUGUAUGCGUAUCUCAUUGUUUGUUCCACUACACAUCAUGUAAAUUUAUAUAUUGUAACAAAUAGAAUUGUAAGACAUUAAAUUUUAUGAAAUGGAUUAUAUUUUUUGUA